ACAUUUGAUAAUAAAAAAUUUUCCGUUCUUAUCAGCUGAAUAUCUGAUACGACAUCCAUCGGGUGUCAAGAUAUUAAACUAAUUUUUGCAGAUAGGCUUGUGGUUAGGAAUUUGUUCCGCCCUCGCCAGGAGUUCUCCUGGAUUCUGCGACU
rnacentral:snRNA from 1 species